CCCUAGCCCCGAUAGCAGUGAAAAUCCUUUUGUGCCGGAGUUCGGCACAAAAGAUUGGAACGGAUAGCGGGAAAAAGC
rnacentral:sRNA from 1 species